GCUCCGCUCCCCCCAGGCCUCAACCCCGCUGGCUACCCGCGCUGAAACCUCACCUGCCGCCGGCUGCAAACGGACUGCGCUCCAGGUUCUGCCAAAACAAGUGAUUGCAACAUAUAAUUGGACCAGCAACUAGAUGAUGUGACUCUUCUCUUCUGCCUGAGCCCUGGAUAUACUGUGUAUUAUGACACAUGGCUGAGUCCAACAUCAAGGUGAUGUGACUGACCACUUCUGCCUGGGCCAUGCCGAAAAAAGGAGAUUGUGACAUAUCACUGCAUUCAAUACCUAGAUGAUGCAUUGUGAAGACUCUGUUUCUCUAGCUGUGCAGCUGCAAGAUCACUAGACAGAUCAACUCAAGUCAUAAAACAUGUUUUUCCUUGAAAAGGUUUCGCCGUGUUGGCCGGACUGGUCUGCAGCUCCUGACCACGAGUGAUCUGCUAGCCUCGGCCUCCCGAGGUGCCGGGAUUGCAGACGGAGUCUCGCUCACUUAGUGCUCAAUGUUGCCCAGGCUGGA
rnacentral:lncRNA from 1 species